UUCUUCGGAUGAAGAGGAUUGUGACUGAGCGGCGGACGGGUGAGUAACGCGUGGGUAACCUGCCUCAUACAGGGGGAUAACAGUUAGAAAUGACUGCUAAUACCGCAUAAGACCACAGCACCGCAUGGUGCGGGGGUAAAAACUCCGGUGGUACAGGAUGGACCCGCGUCUGAUUAGCUGGUUGGUGAGGUAACGGCUCACCAAGGCGACGAUCAGUAGCCGGUCUGAGAGGAUGAACGGCCACACUGGAACUGAGACACGGUCCAGACUCC
rnacentral:rRNA from 1 species